rnacentral:lncRNA from 1 species
CAUAGCCCAUGGUCUUUAUCGAAUUCCUUUUGAGUUUCUUCGCGUACUGACCACCUUGGUUUAUCAACUCCUAGCUUCAAAUCCUGUAACCCCUUCCAAACUUCCUUCAACGGAUCAAGGUUGUUGAUAGUGAUGUUGAUUCUGAUCCUGUUCCUGAUGCUCUUCGUCGGUUUGCAUGUUGAAAAUUUUGGAUUUUGAUGCAAGUUUGAGGAAGAUCGAAGUUGGUUUCAAGUAUUCUCCGGGAGAUUCUGGAAAUCACCUUUGCGAAGAGAGAGAGAUUUUUUUACUUCAAAGUAUA